rnacentral:rRNA from 1 species
CAAUAGCGUAUAUUAAAGUUGUUGCAGUUAAAAAGCUCGUAGUUGGAUUUCUGGUGGGAGCGAUCGGUCUGGCGCUUAGCGCGAGUACUUGCAUCGUCUCCGGCCAUCCUUGGGGAGAGUCUGUCUGGCAUUAAGUUGUCGGGCAGAGGAUCCUCAUCGUUUACUGUGAAAAAAUUAGAGUGUUCAAAGCAGGCUUAUGCCGUUGAAUAUAUUAGCAUGGAAUAAUAAGAUAGGACUUUGGUACUAUUUUGUUGGUUUGCGCACCAAAGUAAUGAUUAAUAGGGACAGUUGGGGGUAUUCGUAUUCCGUUGUCAGAGGUGAAAUUCUUGGAUUUACGGGAGACGAACUACUGCGAAAGCAUUUACCAAGGAUGUUUUCAUUAA